CUUGGAAGUGAGUAAACAUCUAAGCAAACACAUCAUAAUGGAACAAGGGUUAUGACUGAUCUCAGAGAGCUCUGAAAGCACCAAUCUUGGCUGAGGGUAAGGGUUAAAGAUCUCGCCAGGAAGACUGUUGCUUAACCCAAGUCUUUAAAGAAGAGUAGGAAUCUCCAGGUUCUUGCUGCUAUAAACUGGAUGCAAUAUUUGCCUUCUUGGACCAUAAAUACAAGAGCCACAUCCUAGGGAUGUCAGAGUGGUGAGUUGGACAUAGCCUAGAUCCCUGAGAACCUCAGCAGAUCUACCAGCUUUGGUCUGUCCUCUUCUAGACUUGAAUGUGAAAGUGAAAUAAGCCAUCUUGUUUAAGCUGCUAGCUUUUAUUUAAAUCUCUGUUAUUUACAGCCUGACCUGAUGUUGACUAACAGACCAGAUGCAAACACAUGAAGAUAUACAUACACAUCCAGAGAACAACGUUAGCGCAGAAUGGCUGGAGCACAAGUGUUGUUGGUACCUAACUAGGAAUGAGGCAGGAGCCAGAGACAAAGGCAGAAGCCAGGUCCAGGAGUUGAGAGAGACAUAUAAACAGUUCAUUAUGCUAGAGUGAGCUGAGGGCAAUGGUUGGUACCAAGUCCUAGGUGUUAUGGGAGAGGCCACGCAUGCGGACAACAUGAAUAAAGGCACUAAGGUGAGAAAAAGCACAGAACGUUACAAGCUCUUCAGUGUUGUCAGAGAGCAUGGGAUAAAAAUGGUGUUGUGUUACUUAGGUUCGUGCAGUCUAGGUAUGCUAACUCUGACUUUCACAAUGACUCAAUAACCUAUUAAACGUGCUCAAAUUCACAGUUUGUUGCAAGAGAGUCACAUACGAUUAAUGAAGCAAUAAUAUCUUAUAUAACAUCCACAGAAGCAGUAAUUGGAGGUAACAAACCACAGCAAUGGGUUGGGAGACCAACAUGUGGUUGAGUGGGUCUGAA
rnacentral:lncRNA from 1 species